rnacentral:lncRNA from 1 species
CAGAAACACUAUGAAGUCAGAAUGAUCAUUUUGCCCAACAGACAGGAAACAAGAGCCCAGAGGUUAAGCCACACAGUCAAGGUCUACAUCAGUGCUGCCUCUCUUGCUACCAAGAAAGCAGAUUAUGAAUCAAAUACAGCAGUUUGCUGAUCCACUUAGAGGCAACAAAAUGCCAAGGGCCAGGACUAAUCAAUAAUGUCUUCCCAGAGUUUCCUUUGCAAUCUUUAAGAGCACCACUUACUAAACUGUUCCUGAAAGCCCCUGAGGCACCAGCAUUGUAUCACCCAAAAGGAGACAGAGCAGAAGUCUGCAAGUAGAUAAAUGGACCAAAUUAGACCACCUGGAGAUGAUCACAUGUUGGGCUGCCAUUAGCAAAGUUGACAUUCUACUCUGCAUCCUUCCAUGCAGAGACUUGGAGAGACCAAGUUUUGUCCAUACAGAAGAUGAGGUGUACAGAGCUGGAAAGACGGAGAUGAGGAGGAAAGAGGCAAAGAAAGGAAGGCCACUGUCUAAACAGUUUCAUCUCCAAUAAGCUAUCUGACAACUGACAGGAGCUUACAGGUGGGAGGACAACAUAGUCCAUGACCUCUUCACAAGGGAGGCUAUCCCAUUCCUGCAACACCUU